rnacentral:lncRNA from 1 species
UGGGUGUCACGUCCACACCAGGAUUUGGCUGACAGGAAGGGAGCCAGUCUCCGCCCUGGGCAGAGACGGGGCUGGUGGCUCGGGACCCAGCUCUCAGCCCCAGACGGAUCAGCUCUCGCAGCAUGGAGCUAACGCUCCUUCUGCCGCUGCUGGCCGCUUUCCAGAUUCUCCCCAGGCCAGUGCUCCCUGCAGGUGCCCCUGCGGCCCCAUCACUGUCCCUGAACCCCCAGAAGCAGGAGUACCUCCCCGGAGACACUGUUGAAAUCAAGUGCUCUGCUCCUCCUUCGGUGGAUAGAGUUGAAGGAUUCCAGUACUACAGCAAUAUUGGAAAGGCCAUCUCAGUCCCAGCUUCAUCCAGGAGAAGCCACACUUACAGCAUAAACCUCGCAGGGCCUAAGGAUGAGGGGUCGUACCAGUGCGACUACUGGAUAGGCCAAGCCGGUGCUUGGAAAAGGUCCAGCAGGAGCGAUGCUGUCCUCAUCAGAGUAAAAGACUUCCCUCCCUGGCCGGCGCUGAGUGUGGAUCCUCCAUCCGGAGUGGUGAGCAAAGGGCUCCCCCUGAUCAUCACUUGCAUGGCCCCCAGCAGUGCUGGCGAGCGGAGGUUUCACUUCUACAAGGAAGGAGCUGAGCUCGUCGCCGGGGAUGUGGGGUCUGAGGUCAGCACAGCAGAGACCAGGACUGGCUCUAUGACGCUCAGCAUCCCGCAAGCUGGUCCCAGCAGCACCGGGGAAUUCACCUGUGCGUACGAGGAGAACAUGAGCGGGAGGUGGAUUCUGUCCCUAAGAAGCUUGGCUGUGAAUGUUACCGUGACAGCCCACGGCCAUUACUGGGUCCGGGACCUCGUUGUGGGUGGGUCGUUCUUCACCAUUAAUGGCCUCAUCUUCCUCAUCUCCCACCUCUGCAUGAAGGGCAAAGGUUCCAAGGAGGCGCACACAGGCAGCUCAGACCCAUCUCAAUCAGAUUACUACUCAGUUCCGAUUCAGCUGGUCACUGGUCAGUCUGGUCAUUCUGUGACCGCCAAGGCAAACCACAUCUCCAGCCCCAUGCCCCAGCCCCAUAGGAAUGACUACAUGGAGGAGAUCUGAAGGCUCAGAUACUGACUGUGAAUAUUCCUCCCCUGCUCACAGAUGGCUGGCCAGCUCCACAGCUCAGCUGGGUUCAGGGGAGACUGUUCUGCUCCUGAAAUACUACAGACAAACUGUGUGUCACUUUCUCUGCUGCAAAAUUGGGAGAAACCAGAUGGGCAUGUUUUGAGGAAAGAAAGAAAGAAAGAUUAUAUUCUCAUUUCUCCUCAGAUAUUCCUUCUCUAUGUAUAUUCAAAGCUGUAUGAAUCCGUGUAAAUCCCCCCAUCUCCAGCUUUUAAUUAGACCUUUUUUUUUAGCCCCUUCUGGUCUCUGACUCUUGUUUCCUUCACUGUGGUUAUUUUGUCCCCCACAU